UGUCAUCUCUUAACGUUGCUGGCUUUGGAAAAUGGCGCUCAGAAUUUUGCUUUGCCUUCACCGUUCUCUUUUUCCAUUUUCUCAUCAGUUUUCCUUUUCCCUUUCCAAAACCCUAAAUUAAACCAUGGCCGCAUACCUCUUUCCACCAUGACAAUCUUCGAUCUGAAUAUUUAUAUCCAUUAUUCUGGCCGUUCACUCCAUUUCGCAAUGAAUCAAGACUUGAUAACCACAAAGAAUUGCAUCAACAAUCAUCAAGAAUCAACAUAAUCCAUGUUAAUCAUCGAUUCUUGCUUCCAAUUUCUUAUUAUAGUUCGCAUUGUCGGGAUUUGCGUUGGUGAUUGUAGACUGGUUAUGCAGCGCACGGGCGUAUGCCAGCGCUCUUAUUGCAGGCUAUGGCGAGGUUUUCACAAAGGAUGACCUUGAUUACAUCGCGUAGUUUCUACUAGAAGCAUUUUGUAUAUACACCUACUCUAAUGUCAACAGUUUUAUCUUAAAUCUUAAUCAAAUUUUAGUUUAUCCCAUUUGUAAAUCUCCUUUACAAAAGUGCUAUCAAAAUUUUCAUUCUCAUUUGUUUUUACUUAUGGGUCAAUAUGGGUUACACUUAAAACCUGACGGGUCAAACAACUUUUUUUUGUCAAAAGGGAAAUAUGUCGAAUGGUUAAAUUUUGGCCUAACGAGACAAAUAUUUUUUUUUUAUUUUUUAAAAAGGGAAACAUAUCAAAUACGUUAAAUGCCGUUCAUUUUUUAGCCAAACGGGUCAAAAACUUUUAUAACGAAAAGGGAAAUAUGUCAAACGAUUGAUUUUUGCUUAACGGGUCAAUUUCGGUUAUAGUUUUUGCACACACUACAUAACCUCUCUUCGUUUCACCGUCACCCUCCAUACACCACCAUAAAGGUUACCGAUUGACUGAACUGGGUUCAUCACAGUUGCAAACAAUUACCUCAGUGGUACCAUACCAACUGAAUUGGGUUCAUCACAGUUGCAAUCAAUCUCUCUUCUUGGAAACCGCUUUUUUUGGAAAGAUAGCAGCGGAACUGGGAAAUAUUACAACUUUGACAUAUUUGUACGUUGUAUUUAUUUUCUAUUUGGUAGUGUUUGUUAUUAACAGUCCAAUUUAUUAGAUGACUAUGU